rnacentral:rRNA from 1 species
UGAGGAAUUUUGCGCAAUAGGGGAAACCCUGACGCAGCAACGCCGCGUGAGUGAAGAAGGCCCUUGGGUCGUAAAGCUCUGUCAAGUGGGAAAAAAGCUUACUGGUAAAUAGCCAGCAAGACUGAUGGUACCAUUGAAGGAAGCACCGGCUAACUCCGUGCCAGCAGCCGCGGUAAUACGGAGGGUGCAAGCGUUGUUCGGAAUUACUGGGCGUAAAGGGCGUGUAGGCGGUGUGGUAAGUCAGAUGUGAAAGCCCUGGGCUUAACCCAGGAAGUGCAUUUGAAACUGCCAUGCUUGAGUAUGGGAGAGGAGAGUGGAAUUCCCAGUGUAGAGGUGAAAUUCGUAGAUAUUGGGAGGAACACCCGUGGCGAAGGCGACUCUCUGGACCAAUACUGACGCUGAGGCACGAAAGCGUGGGGAGCAAACAGGAUUAGAUACCCUGGUAGUCCACGCUGUAAACGAUGAGCACUAGGUGUAGCGGGUAUUGACCCCUGCUGUGCCGUAGCUAACGCAUUAAGUGCUCCGCCUGGGGAGUACGGCCGCAAGGCUA